GAGUAAUGCAUAGGAAUCUGCCCGAUAGUGGGGGAUAACCUGGGGAAACCCAGGCUAAUACCGCAUACGUCCUACGGGAGAAAGGGGGCUCCGGCUCCCGCUAUUGGAUGAGCCUAUGUCGGAUUAGCUAGUUGGUAAGGUAAUGGCUUACCAAGGCAACGAUCCGUAGCUGGUCUGAGAGGAUGAUCAGCCACAUCGGGACUGAGACACGGCCCGAACUCCUACGGGAGGCAGCAGUGGGGAAUAUUGGACAAUGGGGGCAACCCUGAUCCAGCCAUGCCGCGUGUGUGAAGAAGGCCCUCGGGUUGUAAAGCACUUUCAGCGAGGAAGAACGCCUAUCGGUUAAUACCCGGUAGGAAAGACAUCACUCGCAGAAGAAGCACCGGCUAACUCCGUGCCAGCAGCCGCGGUAAUACGGAGGGUGCAAGCGUUAAUCGGAAUUACUGGGCGUAAAGCGCGCGUAGGUGGCUUGAUAAGCCGGUUGUGAAAGCCCCGGGCUCAACCUGGGAACGGCAUCCGGAACUGUCAGGCUAGAGUGCAGGAGAGGAAGGUAGAAUUCCCGGUGUAGCGGUGAAAUGCGUAGAGAUCGGGAGGAAUACCAGUGGCGAAGGCGGCCUUCUGGACUGACACUGACACUGAGGUGCGAAAGCGUGGGUAGCAAACAGGAUUAGAUACCCUGGUAGUCCACGCCGUAAAUGAUGUCGACCAGCCGUUGGGUGCCUAGAGCACUUUGUGGCGAAGUUAUCGCGAUAAGUCGACCGCCUGGGGAGUACGGCCGCAAGGUUAAAACUCAAAUGAAUUGACGGGGGCCCGCACAAGCGGUGGAGCAUGUGGUUUAAUUCGAUGCAACGCGAAGAACCUUACCUACCCUUGACAUCUACAGAAGCCGGAAGAGAUUCUGGUGUGCCUUCGGGAACUGUAAGACAGGUGCUGCAUGGCUGUCGUCAGCUCGUGUUGUGAAAUGUUGGGUUAAGUCCCGUAACGAGCGCAACCCUUGUCCUUAUUUGCCAGCGAGUAAUGUCGGGAACUCUAAGGAGACUGCCGGUGACAAACCGGAGGAAGGUGGGGACGACGUCAAGUCAUCAUGGCCCUUACGGGUAGGGCUACACACGUGCUACAAUGGCCGGUACAAAGGGCU
rnacentral:rRNA from 1 species